ensembl:snRNA U6 U6 spliceosomal RNA
GAACUCACUUCGGGAGCUCAUACACCAAAACUGGAAUCACACACAACAAAAGAUUAGCAUGGCCCUUGUAUAAAGGAUAAUAUACAAAUUUGUGAAACAUUUUUUAAUUUA